rnacentral:rRNA from 1 species
CGCAGAAGAAGCACCGGCUAACUCCGUGCCAGCAGCCCCGGUAAUACGGAGGGUGCAAGCGUUAAUCGGGAAUUACCUGGGCGUAAAGCGCACGCAGGCGGUUUGUUAAGUCAGAUGUGAAAUCCCCGCGCUUAACGUGGGAACUGCAUUUUGAAACUGGCAAGCUAGAGUCUUGUAGAAGGGGUUAGAAUUCCAGGUGUAGCGGUGAAAUGCGUAGAGAUCUGGAGGAAUACCGGUGGCGAAGGCGGCCCCCUGGACAAAGACUGACGCUCAGGUGCGAAAGCGUGGGGAGCAAACAGGAUUAGAUACCCUGGUAGUCCACGCUGUAAACGAUGUCGACUUGGAGGUUGUGCCCUUGAGGCGUGGCUUCCGGAGCUAACGCGUUAAGUCGACCGCCUGGGGAGUACGGCCGCAAGGUUAAAACUCAAAUGAAUUGACGGGGGCCCGCACAAGCGGUGGAGCAUGUGGUUUAAUUCGAUGCAACGCGAAGAACCUUACCUACUCUUGACAUCCACGGAAUUCGCCAGAGAUGGCUUAGUGCCUUCGGGAACCGUGAGACAGGUGCUGCAUGGCUGUCGUCAGCUCGUGUUGUGAAAUGUUGGGUUAAGUCCCGCAACGAGCGCAACCCU